rnacentral:rRNA from 1 species
UCCAGACUCCUACGGGAGGCAGCAGUGGGGGAUAUUGCACAAUGGGGGGAACCCUGAUGCAGCGACGCCGCGUGGGUGAAGGAGCGUUUCGGCGCGUAAAGCCCUAUCGGCAGGGAAGAAGGAGGACGGUACCUGACUAAGAAGCCCCGGCUAACUACGUGCCAGCAGCCGCGGUAAUACGUAGGGGGCAAGCGUUAUCCGGAUUUACUGGGUGUAAAGGGGGCGCAGACGGCAGCGCAAGCCAGGAGUGAAAGCCCGGGGCCCAACCCCGGGACUGCUCUUGGAACUGCGCGGCUGGAGUGCAGGAGGGGCAGGCGGAAUUCCUGGUGUAGCGGUGAAAUGCGUAGAUAUCAGGAGGAACACCGGUGGCGAAGGCGGCCUGCUGGACUGCGACUGACGUUGAGGCCCGAAAGCGUGGGGAGCAAACAGGAUUAGAUACCCUCGUAAAA